rnacentral:tRNA from 1 species
GGCGCGUUGGCCGAGAAGUUAGGCGAGACUCUGCAAAAGUCUGUAGGCCGGUGCAAGUCCGGUACGCGCCU